GGGAAGGAUACGGUAGAAGUUUUGAAUGGCUCUACGCGUUAAGGGGCACAAGGCCCUAAAGAAAGUUCCAGGGUUGAAGCGCAUUUUGGUCACAUGGUUGGCUACAUGGCCUAUGAAACGACGUCCGUGGCCAGGACGUCAUAAAAGAAAAAACCUUGGGACUUCGGGAAAAGCGCAAGGGCCAUCGACAAGAAAAAGAAAGCUGUUUCCCUAUACCCGAAGAAAACUUUCUUCUCUGGGGACCUUGACACCCUAUAAAAAAGGGAAACGAAGAAAGCUCGUAACAGAGAGUGCGAGGCAACAAUCCGAGUUGGGCCUGGGCAGCACACGCUAGUAACAUUAAUAAACGCCGAGUAUUCUUUUGGCACCCUUCACGAAGUACACCUCAUUCAAUUGGGCAGUAAAUAUCAAAAGAUAAUUUGAAAUAAAUUCGUAUAAUGAAUUCGAAAAGAACGAUGUAGUACCUUAUAUGCGAAAUAAAAUACAUAUAUGUAUGUAGGUAUAUACCUAAAUUUAAA
rnacentral:misc_RNA from 1 species